rnacentral:rRNA from 1 species
GACGAACGCUGGCGGCGUGCUUAACACAUGCAAGUCGAACGGAAAGGCCCUGCUUUUGUGGGGUGCUCGAGUGGCGAACGGGUGAGUAACACGUGAGUAACCUGCCCUUGACUUUGGGAUAACUUCAGGAAACUGGGGCUAAUACCGGAUAGGAGCUCCUGCUGCAUGGUGGGGGUUGGAAAGUUUCGGCGGUUGGGGAUGGACUCGCGGCUUAUCAGCUUGUUGGUGGGGUAGUGGCUUACCAAGGCUUUGACGGGUAGCCGGCCUGAGAGGGUGACCGGCCACAUUGGGACUGAGAUACGGCCCAGACUCCUACGGGAGGCAGCGGUGGGGAACAUUGCACAAUGGGCGGAAGCCUGAUGCAGCAACGCCGCGUGCGGGAUGACGGCCUUCGGGUUGUAAACCGCUUUCGCCUGUGACGAAGCGUGAGUGACGGUAAUGGGUAAAGAAGCACCGGCUAACUACGUG